GCGGCGGGGCCUGUGGCGAACGGAGGCGAGCCGGAAGUGGGGGGGUUGUCUGCUCUCAGGCCCCGCCUCCCCGGGGCCGGCUCGGGCCACUUCUUGCGCGCUGCCAGAAGGAGCUAUUUUGAGCAGGCGGAAUUUUGCUCUGGUGGCCCAGGCUGGAGUGCAGUGGUGCGAUCUUGGCUCACUGCAACCUCUGCCUCCCAGAUUCAAGCAAUUCUCCUGCCUCAGCCUCCCAAGUCGCUGGGAUUACAGGUGCCUGCCACCAUGCCCAGUCCUUCUGACCCUCGUGGCUUCUCCUGCUCCAAGGCCAAGCUCGGGACCCUGUCAUCAUCCCCGGGGACAGGCCCCAUCUUAGAGAGGAUCCACCCAGCUCCCCGCUCCUGAGCCAUCUUCCAGCUAUCCCGCCUCGAGACUCCCACCGCACCUGCUCCUGGGCUGCAGCUGCACCCAACAAGUCAACAUGUGGAUUGCUUCUAGAAUUUGGAUAUUAUGAACACUGCUGUGCUGAACAUUCUUGUACACUUAUAUGGUUUGGCUGUGUCCCCACCCAAAUCUCAUCUUGAAUUGUAGCUCCCAUAAUUCCUAUGUGUCGUGGGAGGGACCCAAUGGGAGGUAAUUGAAUCAUAGGGGCAGGUCUUUCCCCUGCUGUCCUUAUGAUAGUGAAUAAGUCUCAUGAGAUCUGAUGGUUUUAUACAUGGGAGUUCCCCUGCACAAGCCCUCUUGUCUGCCGCCAUGUAAGAUGUGCCUUUGCUUCUCCUCUGCCUUCCACCAUGAUUGUGAGGACUCCCCAACCAUGUGGAACUGUGAGUCCAUUAAACCUCUUUCCUUUGUAAAUUACCCAGUCUUGGGUCUGUCUUUAUUAGCCGCAUGAGAACAUACCAAUUUAUACACAUCUUCUGGAACCCAUUUCUUUCUGGU
rnacentral:lncRNA from 1 species